rnacentral:rRNA from 1 species
UACGGGGGGGGCAAGCGUUGUUCGGAAUUACUGGGCGUAAAGGGCUCGUAGGUGGCCAACUAAGUCAAACGUGAAAUCCCUCGGCUUAACCGGGGAACUGCGUUUGAUACUGGAUGGCUUGAGUUUGGGAGAGGGAUGCGGAAUUCCAGGUGUAGCGGUGAAAUGCGUAGAUAUCUGGAGGAGCACCGGUGGCGAAGGCGGCAUCCUGGACCAAUACUGGCGCUGAGGAGCGAAAGCUAGGGGAGCAAACGGG